AUGCCUGAAGACAAAGGGAGGCGAUCGAAAAUCGAAUCAGAACGGCGGUGGAUCAGAGCUGCGCCGUUGAGAUUGAGAGAAGAAAGAGGGUCUGUGUUCAAAGAAUUGGGACGGUCACAUUCUAGACCUAAUGUACAAAACGCAACCUCUCUGCAACCUCUCUUCUCUCAAACGUUUUCUCCAUUUUUCUUCA